CAGAAGUAUUUUUUUUUAAAUAAAGAAAGUAGUGAAAUCGCUGCCUACGAGAAAAAAGGGGAUGGACUUCCUUUUUAUUUUGGCGCACGGUGUCUAGGGCACCGCGUGCCCUAGAAUCAGGCACUGCAAAUAUGUGUGUUGGUUGGAGUUGCUAUUAUAGUCUGACCUGAUAUUUCGAAUGCUGAUGAAAAAAUUUGUAAAAGAUACGUUAAAAUUUCUUCUUAAAGAGAAAGAUAUCGAAGACCAGGGACCAAACUUAGUUACUGUGGAAGAACCACUAACAUCACCUGUCCCAUUAGCAGUAAAACACGUUGUUGACGAGGAAGACCCUCUCCAGCAAGAAGUAGAAAUCACAGAAAAAUAAUUUAAAACAUGAAAAUUGGGAAAAGGUGUAGGGAAACAGCCAAAGAAUUGCUUGAUCAACUAGCGACUGCUGAUGCUUUGAACUUUGAGGAUACACUACCAUAAUAAUAAGGAACAAGAAAAAUUACGAAAUCAAUUUGCCACUUUAUCCCUGGUUCUAGAAAUUUAACUUCGAAAUAAAAAUGGAAUCUAUGAUAUGAUUGCAAAAUAGGCUUAGGCAGCCUUGCAUGCUCUGAGGACAAAGAGAAGCUCUGAUGGCUACAGUAAGCCUAAUACCAAACCUGCUGCAAAAAGGCGUCACCAAGAAAAUAUUUGUGAAACUGAUGACAAAAAUGAUGAAGCCUGGAUGAAGAAAACUCCUUUAACUGAGGCCAACAUAAAGGAAAUGCUUGAUAACUUCAUCUCAUGCAGGCAUUCAAGAAGACGGAUAAUAGAGUCCAAUAAUGAAGAGGUAACCGCAACUUACAUCCUUAACAGGUAUCCAAGGCUGAUGGAUCACUUUGAAGCAGUAAGUGAUGUUUUAAUCUAUGUAGCUUCCAGUUGUACUAAUCCCUCGUUUCUGUUUUGUUCAUUCCACAUAACAUCUUGCAAGGUAACAAAGGUAACAUACCUAAAAUUGAUAUUAAUUAGUGGGUGGCAAAAUGUGCCGUAUUUGGCAACGUUAGAAUCAAACAAAGCCCUUCGUUUGAAAGAUUCUGUGUAUGUAAACUCAAAGAAAGAAUCAUGCAUUUCUGACUUUAUUCACGUUGACACUGUAUAAUUUGUUUAUUUUUCUGCUAAUCUGAUCUAGGCUUUACGCAUGGAAAUUUAAAAAACAAUUAUCUAUAAGCGUAUUGAGGAUCCCGUUUUGUUGGUUAGUUUAUAUAAUGCCGAAACUUUCAAUAACAUUCCUUAAAUUACGAUGUCGAACCAUCAUACCCUUCUUUACAAUUCUUGUGCCAAGUUAGUGACCUCCUCAAUUUUCACUCAUUAGAUGGGACCAACAAAAACGAAAGGCUGUUUGUUCGACUCAAAAAUUUUGUUUUCUGAACCUAUUUCAACCUCGUCUUUGCAUUUCUCCGCUUUUCACAUAUUA
rnacentral:lncRNA from 1 species